rnacentral:rRNA from 1 species
UCUGCAACUCGACUACAUGAAGCUGGAAUCGCUAGUAAUCGCGAAUCAGAAUGUCGCGGUGAAUACGUUCCCGGGUCUUGUACACACCGCCCGUCACACCAUGGGAGUCAGUAACGCCCGAAGUCAGUGACCCAACCAUAACCGGAGGGAGCUGCCGAAGGUGGGACCGAUAACUGGGGUGAAGUCGUAACAAGGUAAC